CGUGGAGGAUGACGCAUUUCGGUGUGUAAACUCCUUUUAUAUGUCAAGAAAAUGACGGUAGCAUAUGAAUAAGCACCGGCUAACUCCGUGCCAGCGGCCGCGGUAAUACGGAGGGUGCAAGCGUUACUCGGAAUCACUGGGCGUAAAGGACGCGUAGGCGGGAUGGUAAGUCUGAUGUGAAAUCCUACAGCUUAACUGUAGAACUGCAUUGGAAACUACUAACCUAGAGUAUGGGAGGGGGAGAUGGAAUUAGUGGUGUAGGGGUAAAAUCCGUAGAUAUCACUAGGAAUACCUAAAGCGAAGGCGAUCUCCUGGAACAAUACUGACGCUAAGGCGUGAAAGCGUGGGGAGCAAACGGGAUUAGAUACCCCGGUAGUCCACGCCCUAAACGAUGAACACUAGUCGUCGGGAUGCUUGUCAUCUCGGUGAUGCACUUAACAGAUUAAGUGUUCCGCCUGGGGAGUACGGUCGCAAGAUUA
rnacentral:rRNA from 1 species